GGGCAGCACAGGGUUGCCACUGGGGAGCUGCAGCAGCUGCGGGUGCAGGAGGUGGUGGACUCCAUGGUGAAGAGUCUGGAGAGAGAGAACAUCUGGAAGAUGCAUUGUCUCAUGUUCUGGUGCAGCACCAGCUGUUGUGAGGACAGUCAGGCCUCCACGGAGCAGGUGCACCAGUGCAUCGAGUGCCACCAUGUGCCUCUGGCUUAAGCCCAGGCUUUGAUCACCAGUGAGCUGGAGAAGUUCCAGGACCACCUGGUCCGGUGCACCACGCAUUGCAACGACAAAGCCAAAGAUUCAAUAGAUGCUGGGAGUAAGGAGCUUCAGUUGAAGCAGAAGCUGGAAGGUGGUGUGACCAAGUGUGUGGAUGACCACAUGCACCUGCUCCCAACUAUGACCGAGAAGGUGAAGGAGGCUCUCUCAUCCAUUGGGAAA
rnacentral:lncRNA from 1 species